GAUGAAGAACGUAGCGAAAUGCGAUACUUGGUGUGAAUUGCAGAAUCCCGUGAACCAUCGAGUCUUUGAACGCAAGUUGCGCCCGAAGCCAUUUGGUUGAGGGCACGUCUGCCUGGGCGUCACAUAUCGUUGCCCGAUGCCUCUUGCACUGUGAUAGGAAAUUCUAGGGCGAAAGAUGGCUUCCCGUGAGCGUUGUUGCCUCGCGGUUGGUUGAAAAUUGAGUCCUUGGUAGGGUGUGCCAUGAUAGAUGGUGGUCGAGUUUGCACGAGACCGAUCAUGUGUGCGCUCCCCAAAAUAUGGACUCUUUGACCCCACACGCGUCUUUUGACGCUCAUGACGAGACCUCAGGUCAGGCGGGGCUACCCGCUGAGUUUAAGCAUAUCAAUAAGCGGAGGA
rnacentral:misc_RNA from 1 species